GUAGGUGGCAAGCGUUGUCCGGAAUUAUUGGGCGUAAAGCGCGCGCAGGUGGUUCUUUAAGUCUGAUGUGAAAGCCCCCGGCUCAACCGGGGAGGGUCAUUGGAAACUGGGGAACUUGAGUGCAGGAGAGGAAAGUGGAAUUCCACGUGUAGCGGUGAAAUGCGUAGAUAUGUGGAGGAACACCAGUGGCGAAGGCGACUUUCUGGCCUGUAACUGACACUGAGGCGCGAAAGCGUGGGGAGCAAACAGGGAUUAGAUACCCUGGUAGUCCACGCCGUAAACGAUGAGUGCUAAGUGUUGGGGGGGUUCCCGCCCCUCAGUGCUGCAGCUAACGCAUUAAGCACUCCGCCUGGGGAGUACGGUCGCAAGACUG
rnacentral:rRNA from 1 species